CCGUUGAAUUGGGAUGUAUGGGAAUCUGAUGAAACCCGCUGGCCAUAUCCAGGCUAAUGAAGUAUUUCGCGUUCUGCAAUCUCGCGAUUUGAUCUGCGAUAAGGGGCAGGGGAUACCGAUCCGCGACCGUAUUUUUAUUUAACUCUCGAAAGUCUACACACAAUCUAUCUGAGCCGUCCUUCUUCUUCACGAGUAACAUAGGGCUCGCGUACGAUGAAUUGCUAGGCCUUACAAUGUUGGCUUUAAUUAGUUCGCCUAUAAUCUCACGUACUAUUCUUCACUCUUCUUCACUAAGUCUGUAAGGGCUUCUCUGUACGGUGACGUUAGGAUCAAUUAACCGUAUUUCCAACUUGCCCGUACUUACGCGAGUGCGUGGAAAACCCGUAAU
rnacentral:misc_RNA from 1 species